rnacentral:rRNA from 1 species
GAUGAACGCUGGCGGCGUGCCUAACACAUGCAAGUCGAGCGACCGGACGGGAAGCUUGCUCUUCUGAUGUUAGCGGCGGGCGGGUGAGUAACACGUGGAUAACCUACCUAUAAGACUGGGAUAACUUCGGGAAACCGGAGCUAAUACCGGAUAAUAUUGUGAACCGCAUGGGUCAAAAGUGAAAGACGGUCUUGCUGUCACUUAUAGACGGAUCCGCGCUGCAUUAGCUAGUUGGUAAGGUAACGGCUUACCAAGGCAACGAUGCAUAGCCGACCUGAGAGGAUGAUCGGCCACACUGGAACUGAGACACGGUCCAGACUCCUACGGGAGGCAGCAGUAGGGAAUCUUCCGCAAUGGGCGAAAGCCUGACGGAGCAACGCCGCGUGAGUGAUGAAGGUCUUCGGAUCGUAAAGCUCUGUUGUUAGGAAAGAACAUAUGUGUACUAAACUGUGCACAUCUUGACGGUACCUAAUCAGAAAGCCCCGGCUAACUACGUG